GGUGCAGGUCGUUCUAUCGCGUUUAUAGUUUUAUAGAUGAGGAAAGUCUGAGCAGCAAAGAGUAAAUCUGACAGCUAACAGCUGUAUGCAGUAAUGUAUGGAAAGUGCCACAGAAAAUAGUACAGGUAGUGCUGUAGUGAAACAUGCUUUUGUAGUAAUAUAUUAGCACAGGCAAACCCCAGAUGCUGAAACAUCAUGUAACCCAAUGCUUGACAGUUACUCGCUGGAUGUUGGUGGGUAGAUGGAUAGAGGUAGUUGGUGACAACUAUCCCAGAUAAAUGAUAGAAAUAAAAUAGCAAUAUUUUAUACAGAACUCGGCUUAUAGACCUGCAUUUAUU
rnacentral:RNase_P_RNA from 1 species